UCUCUUAAUAUUUGCACUUGGAAAGCUUUUGAAGGCAAAAUUUUAUUAAUUUGAACGUUUACAAUGCGCAAAAACGUGUUAUAUUUAUGGCUUCAUUAAACAGAAGAUUUUAAAGUACCAAAUUAUCAGCUUGAAUUGGCAUGUUUGUGGUAUUCUUUUCAUACAGCAGAAGAAAAGUGAGUUGCGAAGAUUGCGUACAAUGAGAGCGAGAGAUGUUAUCUUUCAAUACGUGAGAUAAAAAGAAGAAAGCGAAACCUCAUCCCGCGUUGUUAUUGUUUUUCUGUCAAAAACUUGAAGCUGUUUUAUAAAUCUUGAUAAAGUUAAUAAAUUGUUUUCGUUUCUGUA